UUCCCUUACGCAUGUGCUAGCAGACAGCGGUUUGUUUGCUUGAGUAGCUUGAGCAUGGCUUGAGGAUGAGAUUUGUGGUAGUGGUGAAGCAGCUUUGCCAAAUAUUCCGUUCAAGUUCCUCGCUGGAUGUCCGGCUCGUCCGUCGAUGUUCAACAGAUGCAACAAGUGCCUGUCCACUUUUUCUCAGCUGCACCUUCUCAGUCCAGGCAGCAGCAGCAGCACCAGGUGAAUGUAGGUACACAACUUCCAAGUGAAUUGCAAUUCUGAAGCCGAUUUUCAGGCAUGGGGAGAAGAAAUGCAGGAUGCAACCACCCUCAUGGUGGUGUACAAGUAUUGCCUUGUAGUGAGGUGAAUUGGAUCCUUUGAAACGUGCCAUCCAGCACACCCCGAAUACUGAGCUGCAGUGCAAUGCCGUCAUGUAGUUUCCCUAACAUAAACAAAUAGUUUCUUGAAGGUAAAAAAAGGACAUUCCAGUACAACAUAGUGUUUUACAAGUGCCUGCACGGGCCGCCUCUAUUGCAUCUUCGUCUGUUUUUGUCAGUGGGGUGUGGGACAGCCCAAAAUCAUGUGCAUAAUAGGAAGCUUGGAAGACAAACGAGACCUUGCCAGUUUGGAACAUUGCACACAUAUCAGCAAGGCAGGUGUCCCCACGCUUGACGGAACCUUGUGAUUUGACGGACCUUUUCCUUUGAUGUGUCCUCUCUAUAAAAGCACCUGAUCAGUUACAAAUAUAAUAACACUUUAAACCAGAGAGUCGAACCGAACCCGAACCGAAAACCGUUAUUUUUGGCCGAACCGGAACUGAACCGAACCGAAAGAGUCGACGCCAUCUUGGAGCUGAACCGGAACUAAACCGGUAAAGAAAUACCGGUUUCCGGUUCAAAUAACGGUUCACACGGAAUUAAGUGCGAAACUUUGGAUGUUGUGCAUCAACACAAAAACUAUUUUUCGUAUUUUUUCUUCAUUUAUUAGCUCCGUAGACAUCCUCUUGCUUGCCGAAACAGUUGGGCCCUCCCAACAAUGAUUUGGAUCUUCUCGAGUCACGAAAUAGCAACAGAUAGUAACUUAAAACUGCUAGGACUACUAACGUCUAUGACAUACAAUAUAUAUAUAUGCUUAUAUAUAUAUAUAAGCAUUAGGGAUCAACAAGAAAUGAGGGACAGUUUUGGGUAGUAGUCAAUAAGUGACAUAUUAUAAUAAUAUACUAAUCAGAGUCAGCUAUACACAGGGUGUCCACCCUAGCAGCAGAAAUGAUCGCUGGUACAUAGCACCGUCAAUGGGAAACUGACACUCUCCUAUGACGUUUGCGUCAGAAGCAGGCACUGCACUUCAGGAUCAGUCCGUUUGUAACACAAACCUGUCAGUUUUUCUUUGACAGCGCUAUGUCUUCGAAAUCAUCUCUACCGUUAUCGCAGGCAUCCUGAUAAAUGCGAAUAGCGGACCAACCGACGUAUAUGUCGUCAUGGGGUAACUUCGCCAAUAAUCGUGGCGGUUACCGUGGUACAGGGAGCAUCUCAAUGAAGUCUACUGAGGGACGCUCGCAUAUUUUCUGUGGUAGGUAGUCCUCUGGGACUACCCAAAUCCCAGAGCAAGAGGGUUAGCACGCCCCUCCCUCUCCUGUGCCACCAUCAUCUCUCCCCUCCCUCUUUCACCCUCCCCCUUCUUCCUUCCCUGGGUGCACCGAGCCGCCACUUCAGAGUAGGCUGACCGCACCUUCCCCCUACAUCACGCCCUCCCCCGUAUAUGUCGUCGGCUGUGCACCUUCAAAUAUUCUCCCCUUCGUCUUUCUUUUUCUUCUUCC